rnacentral:misc_RNA from 1 species
UUCAGCAGAUGUCCAUGGCCCUUUUUUCAGCACGACUCCUCCAUUUGCACUUCCACCGGAGCUACCUUCCUCAGCCAAUGGGGGUUCAAUUUGAUCCCUGGAAAGCACCCCAUCGUCGCUCUCAUUUGUCGUGUGACUCAUCUCCUUUUAAUCACACGGCCAAUCCUACAGCUCAGAACCAUUCAAUCAGCAGGAUAUGGACCUGAAUCGGACCAAGAUGCCAAAACCCAAAGCUGAAAUCUUUGAGUUACCAAAAUUGGAA